rnacentral:rRNA from 1 species
UACGUAAGGGGCUAGCGUUACUCGGAAUGACUGGGUGUAAAGGGCGUGUAGGCGGUCGCGUGCGUCGAGGGUGAAAUACUGGGGCUCAACCCCAGGAACGCCUUCGAUACGGCGCGGCUUGAGUCUGUGAGAGGCGAGUGGAAUUCCUGGUGUAGCGGUGAAAUGCGUAGAGAUCAGGAGGAACACCGGUGGCGAAAGCGGCUCGCUGGUACAGUACUGACGCUGAGGCGCAAAGGUGCGGGGAGCAAACAGG